GCUUGUCUCAAAGAUUAAGCCAUGCAUGUCUAAGUAUAAGCAAUUAUACCGCGAAACUGCGAAUGGCUCAUUAUAUAAGUUAUCGUUUAUUUGAUAAUACUUUACUACUUGGAUAACCGUGGUAAUUCUAGAGCUAAUACAUGCUGAAAAUCCCGACUUCGGAAGGGAUGUAUUUAUUAGAUUAAAAACCAAUGCCCCUCGGGGCUCUCUGGUGAAUCAUGAUAACUAGUCGAAUCGACAGGCCUUGUGCCGGCGAUGGCUCAUUCAAAUUUCUUCCCUAUCAACUUUCGAUGGUAGGAUAGAGGCCUACCAUGGUGGUAACGGGUGACGGAGGAUUAGGGUUCGAUUCCGGAGAGGGAGCCUGAGAAACGGCUACCACAUCCAAGGAAGGCAGCAGG
rnacentral:rRNA from 1 species